UGUGGGAGCUGGCUUGCCAGCGAUGGCGCCGGUUCAGUCGACGUCUUUAUCGACUGGUAUGGCCUCAUCGCUGGCAAGCCAGCUCCCACA
rnacentral:antisense_RNA from 1 species